GAUAGAGCUGAAAUCUGCGUGCUCACUCACUCAUCGGUCUUCUGAGGAUGCCCAGAACCAUCCUCACGCCCUUCAUGUGAAGAUAAGUCAGCACACGGUGCUUCCUGCUGCCUUUGCUGUCCGAUUGUUUGGUGAUAGAGCCCUGUCAUCUCUAGCAGUGACUUGAUGAUAAGACCCCCUUUGCUGAAGAUACCACACAUUUUGGUCACAGGGCUUGGAAAACUGAAGUGGAUACUGUUCUGGAAGCUUCCUUUCUGCUGGCCAGCUUUCCCAGUACCAGAAGAUGCUCUUCAGGUCACUAUGGGGAGAAGAGUGGUCAUCAGUCUUUCCCAGCUGUGACUCCUGCCAGCUACAAUAAUGACCAGCCUGUCAAGAUAUAUAGCAUGAGUGUCAUAGAGGGUGUUUUCGGCGUUUUCCCCACUCAUCUUCUCAGCAUGCCCUUCAUAGCGAUCUCAAAUCAUGCUCAUCUGUAUUUUUGUGUAUGUGGUGAUGAAGCCAAUCUAUAUCCCCAGCUCCGUCUUUUAUCACAGAGAAUAAGAUUCCUAUGUGAAUCAGUUUGGUGAACAUGUUCACUGGAGAUACAGUGUGUCAACUAUUCUCAUCUUCCUGGAGCAGCAUCAUUCUCUUAAUGGAACCACCAUCCUUGUAUCAUCCCUCUAUCCUCGGUACCUGGCAGUAGGCAAAUGCUAAGACUUUGGAUUGAAGGAACCCGACCAAGCUUGUCCUAGGCAUGGAACAUCAAAAGGCUUUAGAGUCACUUUUAAACACGCAAAUAGACAUUUGAGCUCAGAAAAGCCCCAGAGGUCUCUGAAUUACAGAGGAUCCAUCAUCAGGACCACUGAAGAUGACAAUACUGGAUACUGUCAGGGUGAGUUGAUAUCUAGUAAAGAAAAAUUGUAAGAGAGAAAUUUUGUGUUCAGAAAGAGAAAAAUGGAUGGGGGAAGAAGGGCUGAGCUGUUUGGGGAAACAGCCCCAUCACAGAUGUGUAAAAUAGGCCUUAUCUUUCCCGGAAUACACAAACAGGAAGAGAAAUGUGUCUUUUAUCUAAACAUAGAGCAGUUUAAGCAGCUGAGCCUUCGUUCCUGGACCUACAGUUUGGAUGAGAAAAUGACAUUCUGCUGAAAGAGACUCUUCAGCGAUCUCUCCUGGGUCAGCCUAGGUACGUCAGUGUAUUUUUAUUAUUUACCAGAAGUGGAAUCAGGUUUGGAUUUCUACAUUUUUAAGCAGAAAACAGGCAGAAGGAAGGAUCGGGGUAUAAUAUGAAAGGAGAAAGGACUUGGAAUAUGGGAAUUUUUUCUUCAUAGAAAAAAAUCUCAAUAUUUAUACUUGUGUGUCAGUACUGAAAUGUCAUACAAAAAUCAGAAGACUCAGUGACUCUUUUGUCAGGCGAAAUGUCAAGAACAAGUUUGUUAUGUUACAUUCUAGAUGGAUUGGUGCCUUUCACUGUGUUCGUGGGUAGAAGACGAGAUGCACCAAUUAUAAAAUAACACAUCCUUUUCAUAUAAAUGGUCUGAUUUAGUAGGUUUUAUUUAGUAUAUGUUACUUCAUUACUAUCUUUGUAAUUCAAAAAUUGAAUUGUAAAUAACCUGACACUCCGAUUAAUUCAACAAGUCACCUGUGGGGACUGCAGCAGGAUGUGGACAUGACUAAGACAGAUGUGGGGAGUCAUCAUGAUUUCUUCAGACUUCUUUUCUUUGUCCCUUCGGGCAACUUACACAUGGGAAUGGCAUGUUUUCUUGGGACUAACUGUGUGCCAGACACCAUACGUGCACUUAUGUGGAGAAAUGUGACUGGACUACCUGUCUACCAAGGUGAACACCUAGGAGCUAUGAGAAGGUGUCCCAAAGGACUUCAUAGCACGCUGCUUUAGCCACUGUCUACCACCACAUAGGCACCCCCAGACUCAGUGUCAUCAAAAGUCUAGACCAAAUGCUAUUUGUCCUGAUACCUGGUUUAUAGACUUGACCCAAUGUGCUGUGAACACAUUACUUCCCAGGGAUGGGGGAAGUAGAUAACCUUCGUAUUUUCAUUUAUUUUAAAUGCUUAUUUAGCAUCAACCAUGUGCUAGAUAUUAGUACCAGAUACUUGGUGGAAAUAGUAAACAACAAAAAGUGCCCUGCUUUAUUGUGGCUUCUCUUAUAAAGAUAGGAGAGAAGAGAA